rnacentral:lncRNA from 10 species
GGCCAGAGCCCCAUGGUCUGACAAACAAGAAGCUAGAGGAAGUAGAGCUGGAGCCAGAACUAGACCUAGACCUAGACUUGGAAGCAGAGGAGGACAACCUGGCAACCACCACACUGGGCUCCGCCCUCAGCCUACCAGUUGGAACACUUAAUCGGCCACGUGGGAGCCAGAGCCUUUUAAGUCCAUCAUCUGGAUACAUGCCCAUGAACCAGGGUAAUCUUGGGGAGUCUUGCCAGGUAAGUUCUGUUGCUGAGAGGCUGGGUUUUAGGAUCAGAUUGAUACGAGUAGUAU